GUUUCUAACACUGGCUCCUAAUUUGUCCAUGUAUUAAAUAUUUUCCUGGAAGAGUAUGACAUAAACCUGCAAACAUCCCAGUGGUUGGAGAGAUGCUUAACAAACACAGAUGGAUGCUGGUGAUAUCAUAAGUACCAGACCCGAGAAGCAUCCUUUUACAUUUUUCAAUCAGCCACUUAUCUAAAGAGAAUUCAUAUCUUUCCCCGAUCCUCCCUACCUCCUCCUAGAAAUCUCAGCCCUAGCCAGGGACAUGAGUCGAAGGGCUUUUCUUUCUCUCUGGCAUUAUUAUAGGAGGACAGUGUGAGCGCUGCAGCAGGUCUGAAGUGAGAGGAGAAAUGAGAGACCUUUGCUCCAUGGCUGGGCAGAGGCAACGCAGUCCACGCGGAUGUCCCUGCUGGGCUAUUGUGUUCUGAGAUAUGGAACUCGGCAGUGGUCGUGAUGCCCCCAAUCACAGUGGAAUUUAAUCAUUUCUUAUCAAAGCAUUGUCUCUUCCAGAUAUUUUUCUCACUCUAAACAGCCGGCGGGAAAAAAAGAAAAGAUAAGAGGAAGAAGGGAGCUGAGAAUCUUUUGUGAAAGCUCUUUUCCUCCUGAACACCACUUAGUGAUUGGCACGAAGCACAUUUUACCCCUCCCCAGAGGCAGCCGACCUGCAAGACCUGCAAUAGUCACACUGUGUUAAAGAGCAUCUACGCGGGAGGUAGUGCUAACCUCAACAGACUUUCAGAGGAUCCAAGUCUGUGUGCAUUCGGCAGGAACGCAGGUCUGUAAAGUGACAACACAGCCAUUUCAUAAUCACCCAUCUGUAAGACAUUUAUCAAGAGCCUGAAAGCCUGAUAACUUAUCUCCCCUCUUGAAAGGGGUAUCCUAGUCCAGAGGAUCCCAAGACUUCUCGGCUUGCCAACCUUUUAAUUCAAUCCCCAGGAUGAUUUCUUGAUGUUUAGCAAAGCUACUCACCAGGCUCUGUGAGUGGAAAACUCUGGGAAGUGUUCCCUGAAAGUGCUCAGACCCUGGCAGAGAACAGGGUCUUUGUGCUGUGAACUCUGAUCCUGUCCUGUGGGCCUGAACCUAACACAUCCUAUAGUGUCCACCAAGAUUUGCAUCAACCAUGUCCAGGUCCUCUGCAGAUCAUCCCUGGGAAUGCUCAGGCCUUUGGAUGUGCUUUCAUAGCUGGUCUUUGCUUUCCUCUUGUCUCUGGGUCUCCAGAGGGACUCCACUGUCUUGCUCAGCUCUCUAAGCCCAGAGUCUGCACAGUGCCUGAAAGAGAGCAUGUGCUUAGUGAAUAUUUAUUGUGUGGAUAAAUUGAUGACUACAUGAAUUAGAAACAACCACUCAGCCUUAUAGGGUAGCUGUAUGUGGUAGGCAGAAUAAUGUGCCUCCUCCCGAAGACAUUGUAGCAGAGGAAAAAAUGUAUUUUUCUUACGCCAAUCUUAAGUUCACUGAUUGAGACCCUGCAAACUAGACUGAUAAAACAUAGAUUAACAAGACAAAAACAAUCAGGAGUUUACUAACACUCACAUCCUACAUACACAUAAGAAAACCCAGUGAUGAGUCACUCUACUGGGUGGUUUGAACUUGGGCUUCUAUAGCAUCUUAACAAAAGAACAAUUAAUUAUUACAGUGAUGGCAAGAGAAAGAAAACGGACAUUUAGUUUCCAGAGCAGCAAACUGGGAGAUAGUAAACAUAUGAGGCUACAAGGCAAGGGCUAGUGAGUGAGGUUUGUUAGGUCAACUUCUGUGGACCCUACAGGAUGAUAAGGGGCUAGAGUUUUUUCGGUGAUUAACUCCUGUCCUUCUGGGUAGAGAGAAAGGGAGACACCUUUACAAAUGAUGCCCUGCCUUAGGCAUAUGGGAAGGGUUUGAAAGAUUUUCUUGUAUUAGCAUAUUCUCAAUUGUCUUUAGCCCAAAAGAAUCCUUAUGCCAAAGUGGCAUAUUUUGGGGUAGCAUGUUCUGUACCUCCAAAGCUUGAAUUGAUUUUAUUUCUUCUCUGACUGUGCAAAGGCACUAAAAUGCAAGGAUGCAAAUCAAAUCUCAGGCUGUCUCUAAGACACAGGCCAAGGGACAGCUUUCUGAAUAGUGAACUAAGGGGAUAUGUUAAUAAAACAAACUGAUACAAAAACGUAUGUUCAGAGAUAAUUUAUGUGGUAGUUACAUGACAGCCUCAAAACACAAGAUUAAGAUAGAGAAACCAAACCAGGAACUAAUAAGAAAAUCAACCAUUUUCAGGUUCAACCAUUAACUCCAACAAGGAUAAAAUUGCCAAACAAGUUAUUUAGCAUUGUGUGAGUGAAAUAUGUAGAUUUCCAUAUAUCUUGUUAUCUGGCUGACUGACUUGAAGUCAUUUUAAUUGAGUCAAGCCUAAUCCAUGCAGUUUUUUGGAAGUAGAAUCCAAUAGCCAGGGUAAUGUCAGUUGCUAUGACAAGCAUCCAUUCAACUAUACAAUGGCUCGGAAAAAAAAUGAGGUCUGUUUCUCAUUCCAAGGUGAUGGAGGUCUAUUUAUCGUUCAAAGAAUGUGCAGAAAUUGGUGUUCCUAGUCAAUGGAUGGCUCUUUUUAAGGAAGUGACUCAGAGACCUGGGUCCUUACAUCCUAUGGUUCCACCAGCUUCAACACUUCCAAGGCUGCCAUGCUCCUGUGCAUGAAGGUGGUGAAGAAGAAGAUAGCAUUGGGAAUUGUACAUGACAGAGUUUUAUGCCUGAAAAUGGCGAGUGCCACUUCAGUUCUCAUUUUAUAGGGUAGAUAUAUGUCACAUUACCAUUUAACUGCAAGAAACCCUAAGAAAUAUGGUUCUGCCAUUUUUCCGGAGUGAAUGGAAAAUGAGUGAGUAGUUACCUGGUGUCUGGCACUAGAAAUCAGGGAAGUAUCUGUGAUAUACCCUAGCUAAAGCCCUGGGAGUUACCACCUCUCACAGUUGAUUGCAGUCUUGAGCAAUCACAUAUCAUGAAUAUUUACAACUAAAUGAAUAAUUGAAGUUCACCUGUUUCAAACCUUCCUUUGCAGAUAAAAACAAAGUCUAGAAAAGCGAAAUUCGUCUUCGAAGACCAUGCAACUUAGCUAAUGACAAAACUAAAACAAUUUUCAAGUCCUAAAUUUGUACCUAAAUAUUCUUUCAACCACAAUUUGUAAUCCAGUAUUUGAUUUUUUAAUCACAAGCUCUCUCUUUGGGAAUUAUUAAAGUGAGUAAUCAUAAAUCACUAGAAGUUUGGGAAAAGUGAUAAAAACUUAGGGAUUAUGUCUGUUAAAAUAUAUUACAGGAUAAUGCCCAUCAAUCAACAAGGGAAAAAAGAAAAGGUGGUAUAUAUUUAUACCAUGGAAUACUACUCAGCCGUAAAAAGAAACAAAGUAAUAGCAUUCACAGCAACCUGGGUAGGAUUGGAGACCAUUAUUCUAAGUGAAGUAACUCAGGAAUAGGAAACCAAACAUCGUAUAUUCUCACUCUUAAGUGGGCAUUAAGCUAUGAGGAAACAAAGGCAUAAGAAUGAUAUAUUGGACUUUGGGGACUGACGGGAAAGGGUGGGAGGGGGGUGAGGAAUAAAAGACUACACAUUGGGUACACAGUACACUGCUCAGGUGACGGGAGUGCUAAAAUCUCAGAAAUCACCACUAAAGAACGUAUUCAUGUAACCAAACACCCCCUGCUCCCUAAAAACCUAUUGAAAUUUAAAAAAAUUAAAAAACAAGAAAAUUCCAUAUACAUAACAUAAAUUCGAACAUUUUUAAGUGCACAGUGUUAAGUACAUUCACAUUCUUGUGCAAGAAAACAGAAGUAAUUAGAUAAUAACAAGUGUUGGUGAAGAUGUGGAGCAAUUGGUAUCCUCAUAUACUGCUGUUGGGAAUGUGAAAUGGUGCAGUAACUUCGGAAAACAGUCCAGCAGUUUCUCAAAAAAUUAAAUAAAGCGGUACCAUAUGACCCAGCAAUUUCACUCCCAGGUAUGUAGCCAAGAUAAAUGAAAACACUUGUCUACACAAAAACUCAUGCAAAAAUGUUCUUAGCAGCAUUGUUAAUAAUAGCCAAAAGAUAUGAACAAGCCAAAUGUGUAUCCACUAAUGAAUGGAUACAUAAAAUGUGAUACGUUGAUAUAAUGAAAUAUUAUUCAACCAUAUAAAGGAACAAAAAACGAAUACAUGCUACAACAUGGACGACUCUCUAAAAUAUUAUACUAAGUAAAGGAAGUCAAACACAAAAGACCACGUUAUAUGAUUCCAUUUAUAUGAAAUGUCCAGAGCAGGCAAAACUAUUGGAGUCAGCAAGUAGAUUAGCGGUUGCCUAGGGCUGCUGGGAUUAGAGAAAAAUGGGAGCGUAACUGCUAAAAGGUACUGGGUUUUUUUUUAAGUGAUAAUAAUAUUAUUAAAUUGAUUGUGGUGAUGAUUGCACAACCUUGUGAAUAUAAUAAAACCACUGAAUUGUAUAUUUUUUAAAAGGGUGAAUUUGACAUUUUAAUUAUAUCUCAAUAAAGCUGUUACCAAAAAGAAUGUAUUGCAGAAAAUAAGUGAGCUGGUGAAUAAUUGUUAUUUAAACACCUUUGAUUCUUUGGAAGGAGAUUACUGUGGAGUACAGACAAUCGUAAUCUCAGCUUCCUCACAUUUUCAACACUUUGCAAAACUCAUAGCAAUGCCAUUUAUAAACAUAAGAAAUGAGAAGAUAAGGACUUUUUUAUGCAGUUAAUAUGGCCUUUUGAUUCUGUAUAAAGCAUGCCUACAAGAAGUAAAUGAAGUUAAUGACCACUUAUUGUCUGCAGGAAGUGUUCAAUACUGAUUAUGUUAAAAUAACAAUGUCUUUUUUUGGCAGACAGUUUUAGUAUGGCAACAAAGAAUAUGAACCUCUAUUUACCAGAUUGAAUCAUUCAGUUAGCUUAGUUAAACUUUAUAGCUAACAUCCUAUUAGAUUCACUGGAAUUUGGUACUAUUUAUUGAUUCAAAAAUAUUUAUUUUUAAUAUUUUAUUUUAUUUCAACAGUUUUUAGGAAACAGGUGGUUUCUGGGUACACGGAUAAGUUCUUCGGUGGUGAUUUCUGAGAUUUUGUUGCACCCAUCACCCUGAGACCCAAUAAUGUGUCAAAGAAACUACUAAACACAAAGUUUAGGUUCAAAAGACUCGUGCUCUUCUGGAAAUGUAUUUUCCUAUUUAUUUGCUUCCUUGUUACAUGUUAGAGGAGGAAGAUUGAUAAUUCUUCCCAUCUAAUGAACUCAGAGCCAAUAAAGCAUUGUUGCUUUCAUGGAAUUACGUUGGGACAUUUAACUGAAGACAAGCCACUUUCUUGGAAACAUAGAACGUUUGUCUGGCUGCUGGAGGACCUGUAGUCUACUUGAUAAAAAGUAAAGGUGACUGUCCCUGGAGGCAAAUAUAUGGACCAGGAGGUGUCUAUGUUUACAACAAAAUGCAAAUACUACCAAGACUCUCUUCCUUUUUGUGAAAUGUAGCUUGAUCUCAUUAUGAAAGAUAAAAUGUGACUUUAUGAAACUGUAUAAUAUAUUCCCACUUUGGUAAAUGAAAAGUAAAUUUGACAAGAAGAAUAUCUUCCACAAUAUUAAAAGUUGUGAUAUAGGAGUAGCAGAAUUACAGGUGAUUUUAAAACUCG
rnacentral:lncRNA from 10 species